CACGGGGGGGAGCAAGCGUUGUUCGGAAUCACUGGGCGUAAAGGGCUCGUAGGCGGCCAACUAAGUCAGACGUGAAAUCCCUCAGCUUAACUGGGGAACUGCGUCUGAUACUGGAUGGCUUGGAUCCGGGAGAGGGAUGCGGAAUUCCAGGUGUAGCGGUGAAAUGCGUAGAUAUCUGGAGGAACACCGGUGGCGAAGGCGGCAUCCUGGACCGGCAUUGACGCUGAGGCGCGAAAGCCAGGGGGAGCAAACGGG
rnacentral:rRNA from 1 species